rnacentral:rRNA from 1 species
UACGUAGGGGGCAAGCGUUGUCCGGAAUCAUUGGGCGUAAAGAGCGUGUAGGCGGCCCGAUAAGUCCGCUGUGAAAGUCCAGGGCUCAACCCUGGAAUGCCGGUGGAUACUGUCGGGCUCGAAUCCGGAAGAGGUGAGUGGAAUUCCUGGUGUGAGCGGUGAAAUGCGCAGAUAUCAGGAGGAACACCAAUGGCGAAGGCAGCUCACUGGGACGGUAUUGACGCUGAGACGCGAAAGCGUGGGGGAGCAAACAGG